GUUAGUUUUGAGGUGCUCCUUUUGGUCCAAAAGUAGGAAGGAGAGAAGGUGUUUAUACACGGCUGCUGGGUCAUGGAUUCCUCUGGGUUGCGCAGGAUAAGAAAUCUCUGGUGCGCAGCUUAAGGGCUUGCAUGACCCAGGAGACGUUGCUUCCCUUCUCCUUUCCUUGUUUGGAUUGAAGGGAGCUCCUAAUACUACUACU
rnacentral:pre_miRNA from 1 species